rnacentral:lncRNA from 1 species
UGAGAUGUUCAUACACAAAUCCAAGAAAUACAGACAGUCUUGACCAGAUAAUAUACAACACGGUCAUCCCCAAGGCACAUAGUCAUCAUAGUCACCAAGGUCAAUCAAAAAAUCUUAAAAGUAGCUAGAGAGAACAGGCACAUCACCUACAGAGGGAACCUCAUCAGGCUAGCAGUGUACUUCUCAGCAAGAACCUUACAAGCCGGAAGAGAUUGGGGGCCUGUUUUCAGUGUUCUUAAGGAAAGAAAAUUCCAGUCAAUAAUUUCAUAUCCUGCCAAAUUUAUCUUCAUAAGUGAAGAAGAAAUAAAAUCCUUCUCUGGCAAGCAAAUGUUGAAGAAAUACAUUUCAAUUAGACCAGCCAUACAGAAGGACUUUAAGAGAUUGAUAAGAAUGAAGCCAAAAGAACCACACCUGCUACCACAAGAGCACACUUAAGCACAUAGCUCACAGGCACUAUAGAAGAACUACACAAUCAAGCCUACAUAAAUACCAGCUAACAACACUACAGGAUUAAUAUCACACAUAUCAACACUAAACUUGAAUAGAAAUGUGCUAAAUCCCCCAUUUAAAAGGCACAGAGUGGCAGGCUGGAUAAAAAGACAAGACCCAACCAUCUUUUGUCUUGCAGAGACCCAUCUCACAUGUAACAACACCCACAGCCAAAAAGUAAAAGGGAAGAGUGAGACCUUCCAUGCAAAUGUAAAACAAAAUAAAACACAAAGCACUAUUUUUAUGUCAGAUAAAAUGCAACUUAAGUCAAUAAAAAUUAAGAAGCACAUUGAAGAGCAUUACAUGAUGAUAAAGAAUGCAAUCCAACAAGAAACUUUACCCCCUAUAUAUAUGCACCCAACAUUGGAGCACCCAGAUUUAUAAAACAACUUUUUCUUGGCAUAAAAAAAGACUUAGACAACCACACAAUAAUAUUGUGAGACUUCAACACCCUGCUGACAGCAUUCGACAGACUAUCAAGUCAAAACAAAACAAAACAACAAAAACAAAGAACCUCUGGACUUAAAUUCAACUCUUGACCAAUUGGACAUAAUAGACAUCUAUAGAAAACUCCAUCCAACAACCACAGAAUAGACAUUCUUCAAACUUGCACAUGAAACAUGUUUUAAGAUCAGCUAUAUUCUUAGUCAUAGGGCAAACCUCCAUAAAUUAAAAAGCUUGAAAUCAUACCAUGUACACUCUUGAACACAGUGCAAUCAAAAUAGAAGUUAACAGCAAGAAGAUUUCUCAAAACAACACAAAUACACAGAAAUUUAAAAACUUAUGCCUGAAUAACUCCUGGGUGAACAUCAAAAUUAAGGCAGAAAUAAAAAUUCUUUGAAAUUAAUAAAACUAGAGACACAACUUACAAAAAUAUCUGAGAUGUAGCUAAAGCAGUACCAAGGGGAAAGUUUAUAGUCCUAAAUGCUUUUAUCAAGAAGUUAGAAAUGUCUCAAAUUAACAAUGUAAGUUUGCACCUGAAGAAUCUAGGCAGAAAAAGAAAAUACCAAACCAACUCUGAAGCUAGCAAGAGAAAAGAAAUAACUAAAAUUAGAGAACUUACUGAAAUUGAGAUGCAAAAAUCCGCAUAAAACUUCAAUGAAAACAAGAGUUGGUGAUUUGAAAAGACAAAUAAGAUUGAUAGAGAUCCCCUGGCUUGGUUAACAAAUACAAAGAGAAGAUCCAAGUAAGCACGAUCAGUAAUGACAAAGAUGAUACUACAACUGAUCACUCAGAAACACAGAAGAUCCUCAGAUACCACUAUGAACAACUCUAUGCUCAAAAAUUUAAAAAUCUAGAGGAAAUGGAUAAAUUCCUGGGAGCACAAAAUCUCCCAAGAUUGGAUCAGGAAGAGUUUGAAACCCUGAAUAGACAAAUACCAACUUCUGAAGAACCUACCAACGAAAAGAAACUGCGGGCCAGAUAGAUUCAUAGCCAAAUUCUACCAGACAUACCAAGAAAAGCUAAUACCAAUUCUACUGCAGCUAUUCCAAAAAUUGAGGAACAAGGACCCCUUGCUAACUCAUUCUAUGAAUCCAACAUCAGCUUUAUGCCAAAAUUUGGCAGAGACACAACAAAAAAAGAAAACAUCAGACCAAUAUCUCUCAUGAUUAUAUAUGCAAAAGUCCUCAACAAAAUACUAGCAAAUUUAAUCCAGCAGCACAUCAAAAAGUUAACACACCACAAUCAAGUAGGCAUUAUUCCUAGAAUGCAAAGCUGAUUCAACAUGCACACAUUAAUAAAUGUGAUUUACCGCAUAAACAGAACCAAAAGCGAAAACCGUAUGAUCAUCUCAAUAGAUGCGGAAAAGGCAUUUGAUAAAAUCCAACAUCCCCUCAUGACAAAAUCCUCAAAAACCUAGGCAUCAAAGAAACAUACCUCAAAAUAAUAAGAGCCAUCUUCGACAAACCCACAGUAAACAUCCUACUGAAUGGACAAAAGCUGGAAGCACUCCCCUUGAGAACUGGAGCAAGAUAAAGAUGUCCACUCACACCACUCUUACUCAACACAGUACUGGAAUUACUAGACAGAGCAGUCAGGCAAAAAAAAAAAAAAGUUAUAAAAGGCAUCUAAAUAAGAAAAGAAGUCAAACUGUGUCUCUUCAUUGACGAUAUGAUUCUGGACCUAGAAAAUCCUAGAGACUCUGACAUAAGGUUACUAGUAUUGAUAAAGGAUUUGUAUUCAGUAAAGUUUCUGGAUACAAAAUUAAGGAACAAUAAUCAGUAGCAUUUUUACUCAACAACAACUGAGAGUGAAAUCAGGAACACAAUCCCACUUACAAUAACCACAAAGAAAAUAAAACACCUAGGAAUACAGCUAACCAAGGAGGUGAAAGAUCUCCAUAAGGAGAACUACCAAACACUGCAGAGAGAAAUCAGAGAUGACACAAAUAAAUGGAAAAACAUUUCAUGCUCAUGAAUUGGAAGAAUCAAUGUCAUAAAAAUGGCCAUGCUGCCCAAAGCAAUUUACAGAUUCAAUGAUAUUACUAUCAAACUAUCAAUGUCAUUCUUCACAGAAUUGGGGAAAAAAGUAUGCUAAAAUUCACAUGGAACCAAAAAAGAGCCUGAAUUGUGAAAGCUAUCCUAAGUAAACAGAACAAAGCCAGAGGCAUUGCACUACCUUACUUCAAACUGUAGUAUAAAGCCAGAGUAAUCAAAACAUUUUGUACUGGUACAAAAACAGGCAUGGAGAAAAAUGGAACAGAAUAGAAGACUCAGAAAUAAAGUCACACACCUACAAUCAUCUGAUCUAUGACAAGGCUGAUGAAAACAAGCACUGGGGAAAGGACUCCCUAUUCAAUAAAUGGUGCUGAGAUAACUGGCUAGUCAUAUGCAGAAGACUGAAGCCACACCCCUUCCUUUUGCCAUAUAAAAAAUUAAUUCAAAAUGGAUUAAAGAUUUAAAUGUAAAACCUCAAAGUAUAAAAAUCCUGGAAGACAACCUAAGAAAUACUCUUCUCGACAUCAGUCUUGGCAAGAAAUUUUUAACUAAGUCUCUGAAAGAAAUCACAACAAAACCAAAAAUAAAGUGGGACCUAAUUAAACUAAAAAUCUCCUGAACAGAGAAAUAAACUAUCAACAGAGCAAACAGACAACCCACAGAAUGGGAGAAGAUAUUUGCAAACCAUGCAUCUGACAAAGGUAUAAUAUCCUGAUUUUGUAGGUUACUUAAACAAAUUAACAAGUGAAAACCAAAUAAUCCCAUUAAAAAAUGGACAAAGGAUACUAACAAACCCUUCUCAAAACAAAAAAAAGACAUAUAAGGGGCCAAUGAACAUAUGAAAAUAUGCUUCGCAUGACUAAUCAUUAGAAAAAUGCAAAUCAAAACCACAGUCAGAUACCGUCUCAGACCAGUCAGAAUGGCUAUUAUUAAAAGAACAACAGAUGCUGGUGAGGCUUGGGAGAAAAUGUAACACUAUACACUCCUGAUGGAAAUGAAAAUUAGUACAGCCACGGUGAAAAGCAGUGUGAACAUUUCUCGUGUAACUUACAAUAGAGCUACCAUUUGACCCAGCAAUCUCAUAUUAGAUAUAUACCCAAAGAAAAUAAACCAUUUUCCCAAAAAGAUACAUGCGCUUGUAUGUUCAUUCCUGUGCUAUUCACAAUAGCAAAGACAUGUAAUCAACCCAGGUGCCCACCAAUGAUAGAUCAGAUAAAGACAAUGUGGUACAUAUAUACCAUGGAAUUCUACACAGUCAUGAAAGAAUGAAAUCAAGUCCUUUGCAGCAACAUGAAUGGGGCUGGAGGUCAUAAUUCUAUGCAAAUUAAUGCAGAAACAGAAAACCAAAUACCACAUGUUCUCACUUAUAAGUGGUAGCCAAACAUUGAAUACAAAUGGACAAAAAUAUGGGAACAGUAGUUAUUGAGGACUACUAUGGAGGAUGGGGAGUGUGUGAAUUAAAAGAAACUACCUACUGGGGACUAUGCUCACGUUUGGAGUGUCAGUAUCUGUACUCCAAGCGUCAACAUCAUGCAGUAUUCCCAUGUAACAAGUCUGCAUGUGUACCCUGUAUCUAAAAUAAAUAUUAAGAAAAACAGCAAAAAAAUCACACAAAAAAUAAAAACAAAAACAAACAACAAAUCUAAAAAAUAUUUGUGAAGUUUUUACUCUCCUUGUUUCAACCCCCUUGGGCAUGGCGGCACUUUUGAAGAGAGAUGUCCACAUUCCCAGAGUAAUACUCUGGUCUCUGGUUGUGGAGGAACCAGAACAGACUCUAUUUGCAAAUUAUUUUGUGUGUGUAUUCUCACCUGUAUGAAGGCCACUUGAGGGAGUGACGUAAGGCAUUCAUAUCUGUUUCAAUUAAUUUAGAAUCCAGGCCAGGAAGCAAGCACUGGACAUUGCUCAAAAACACUGCAAGCCAACCCAAUAACCUGCAGACUCCUGUGGCAAAGAACACGCUGAAACAUGCAAUAGACUACCUGUAGCUUGGGAGUAAAAGCUAGAAAGAGUUCCUUUGGGAAGCUAAGACAUUCAAAAGCACGUUCAUAUGAGGAGAAAUUUAGGAGGCUGUGCUCAGGUCCAGAGCAAGACAAAAUGCUUAGAAAAAUCUAGGAAGACACAAACCUAUCAUUUUUAGUUGAUUCUUAGUCUCAGUACAAGCCUGGUAAAGUGCUGAAGGAGCAUCCCCUUCAGACUCGGAAAAGUGUUUUUUUGUUUGGUUGGUUGGCUGGUUUUAGCUGUUGGCAUUAUCCUUCAAAGGAAAUCUCUGUUAAAACACUGGGUAAACACUAACUAAGGUACAGAGACGUUUUUGACUACAUACAACGGAUACAGCCUUUACAAAAAUAGUUUGAAAAAGACACUAAGCAAAUUGACUACUAUAGCUUUCCAUUGAAACAACCACAGGCAACAACAAAAUAACAACAAACUCUGGGGAAGGGAGAAAAUCUAAUUUCUAAAAUUACUUCAUUACAAUAUUCAAAUGUCCACCUUUAACAAAAGUAUCACAAGGUGUACAAAGUAACAGAAAAAUAUGCUGAUUCAAAGUAGUGAAAUAUGUGGAUUCUCUCUAAUGGAGCCAAAACUUUGGACUUACAAGACAAUAACUUUAAAAUAACCGUCUUGCAAUGGAUCUGUUAAUAAGCCUGAUUUAGCCAUUCUACAAUGUAUACAUAUAUGAAAACAUCAUGUUGCACAGCAUAAAUGUAUACAACCUUAUUAGUCAGUUAUAAAUAAUUCAAUAUGUAAAUAAAAUUUUUAAAACAAAAAACAACUGUGUUAAGUAUGCUAAACUCUAAACAUUAAAAGAAAACAUUAACAAAUAACUGUGGGAAAUCAGGGAAAUAGUAUAUAUACAAAAUAAGAAUAUUAAGAAAUAUAAAUUUUAACAAAGAAACAAUCAGAAAUUCUGGAGCUAAAAAGCACAAUAACUAAGCAAAAAAAAAUCAGUGUACUUGAAGAUAAUACAAACGAAAUGAUUAAUUCUGAGAGGCAGAAAGAAAACAAGGGUGAAAAAAUGAACAGAGCAUAAGGGGAUUAUAGAGCACCACCAAGGACACCAACAAAUGCAUUAUGGGAGGCCCAGAAGACAAAGGAUGGGGGAAGAAAUAUGAUGUAAUAAUGGCUGAAAACUCCCAAAUUUAAUAAAGACAUGAAUCUACAACCAAGAAGACAUACAAACAUAAAUAGGAUGAAUUCAAGAGACUCACCAAAUUUACAACCAAACUUGAAAGGAGCAAGAGAGGAGCAACUCAUCACAUACAAAAGAUUCUCAAUAAGAUUAACAGCAAUUUAUCAGCAAAAACCAAGAAGGCAAGAAGACAGUGUGGUGAUAUAUGUAAGGUACUGAAAAAAAUUAUCUACCAAAAAUUUUAAUUUGGCAAAAUUGUCCUUUAAAAAUUAGGGUAAAAUUAAGACAUUUCAAAGUAAACAAAAGCUGAGAGAAUUCAUUAUCACUGGAACCGCCCCACAAGGAAUGCCAAAGGGAGUCCUUCAGGUUAACAUGAAAGGGCACUGAACAGUAAUUCAAUGCCAUAUGAAGAAAUAAGAACCUCUGGUAGAGACAAAUAUAUGGACCAAUACAAAACCAGUAUUAUUGUAUUUUUGGCUUAUAACUCUACUUUUCUUUCAUACAGAUUUUAAAAGAGAGAUACAUAACAAAUUAUAUAAAAUUAAUGUUGUGUGAAAAAUGAAUAAAGACAGAUUAUAACAACGUAUGUGUGGGAUGUAUGAGACUUUAUAUGUACAGAAUGUUUUAUGUUACUGAAAUUAAGUUGGUAUCAAUUUGAACUAGAUUGUCAUAAAUUUAGGGUAUUAAAUGUAACACGUGUGGUAACCAUUAAGAGAAAAUCUAAAAGGUAUAGAGAAAAUGAUUGAAAGGGAAACUAUGGUUUACUGAAAAUAAAACAACUAAAUAUAAAAUAUGUCAGUAAUGGAGGAAAUGAAGGAUGGAAAAUCUGUAAGACAUACAGAAAACAAACUCAUACAUCUACGGCAUAUUUACUUUUGACAAAGGUUAUCAAAUUUAUUCAAUGGCAAAUUAACAGCCUCUUCAACAAAUGAUGUUAGGACCACUGGAUAUUCACAUGCAAAAUAAUAAAACUAGACUCCUAUCUCAAACAUAUAUGAAAAUUCACUUAAGAUGCAUCAAUCUCCUAAAUAUAAAAGCUAACCCUAAACUGUUAGGAGAAAAUAUAGAGGUAAAUAUUAAUUACUUUGAAUUUGACAAUAGAUUUUUAGAUAUGACAAAAGCAUGAGCAACAAAAGAAAAAAACAAAUAAAUAGGGCUUUAUAAAUGACAACAAAUGAACAAAAAUAUUUGCAAAUUAAAGAACAUUAGGAAGAAAGUAAAAAAAACUUACAAAAUAAAGAAAAUAUUUGCAAAUUAUACAUUUGAUAAGAGAUAAUGAUCCAUCCAGAUUGUACAAAGAAUCCCUUCAACUCAACACCAAUAACAAUCUAAUUAUAAAAUAGGCAAAGUAUUUGAAUAGACAUUUAUUUAAAGAAGCUAUGUAAAUAGCUUAUAAGCACAUUAAAAUGCUCAACAUCAUUAGUCGUUAUGGAAAUGCGUAUCAAAACCUUGCUGAUGUAUCAUGCCAUACUUACAAGGUUGAAAAUAAUUUUUGAAAAUGGGGAAUAACAAGUAUUAAGCUAUGGAGAAGUUGGAAACUUCCUUCAUUGCUGAUGGGAGUGUAAAACAGUGUAACCUCUGUGGAAAAGUUUGGCAGUGUUAAAAAAUAGUAAACAGAAUUACCAUAUAACACAGUAAUUCCACUCAUAGGUAUAUACACUAGAAAUAAUUGAAAAUAGAGACUCAAACAGACACUUGUAUGUUUAUUAUAGUACUAUUCACAAAAGCCAAAAACUGGAAACAACAGAUGAAUGGAUAAAUAAAGUGUAGUAUGUAUGCACAAUGGAAUAGCAUUCAACAAUAAAAAAAAUUAGAUUCUGAUACAUGUUGCAACAUGGAUGAUCUUUAAAAACAUUAUGCUAAGUGAAGCUAGACACAAUAGGACAAAUAUAAUUCUAUGUAUAGGAAAUAUUUUAAAUGGCCAGUUCAUAGAAGUUUAGAGCUUACUAGGGUCUGAAGGAACAGGGAAUGGGGAGUUAUUGCUUAAUGUUAUAGUGUUUCUGUUUGGAGUAAUAUAAACAUUUUGUACAUAGAUAGUGGUGAUGGUUGCACAACAUUGUGAAUAUAAUUAAUACCACUGAACUGUGCUUAAAAAUAGUUAAAUGGCAAUUUUAUGCCACAUAUAUUUCACUAAAAUAAAAACUACUUUAAAACACACUAUUGAAGAAAGCAAGCUCACUUCACUAGCCAAGAAGAUUUAGUAAAUUAAUCCAUUCCUGAUAAAUGUCACAUUUAAACUGAGUCUAUAUUCUGUUAUUAUUUUUAGUUCAAGGUAAAUAAAUGGAUUGCGUGAUACAAAUAGACAAAGCAAAUGGAGGCAAAGUGAUAUAUUGCCAGGUGUUAUGACCACAUCUUUGCUCAAUCAUAGUUAAGUGUCUAUUCUAAACAUACUCUAAUAAAACUGAGAGGUGGUCUAUGUCACCUCUCAGAUUAGAUUUUGAAGCCUGAAGUUCCCAUCUUGUUUCUCUGUCUCCCUGUCUCUCUCUCUCUCUGUUUUGUUCUCUCUCUCAUUAUUCACUUUGGGGAAAGCAACCACCGUGUCUUCAGAACACUCAAGGCAUCCCUAUGGAGACAGCUCAAGGCAGCAAACUGAGGCAUCAACCACCAGGCCAGUGAGUAAAUGUGUCUUCAGAUGCAGUCCCAGCUGAAGCCAUGUCUGCAACCUUACCAUGACCCUGAGUCAGAAACAUCCAGCCGAGCCUCCACCUUUUCUGUCUUUGCCACCAUGAGACAGCGACCAAUCUCUUCUGCUUCUCCUCCUCCUCAGUCUACUGAAUGUGAGGACAAUGAGGAUGAAGACUUUUGUGAUGAUCUACUUCCACUUAAUGAUUAGGUUCUACAAGGACAGAGAAAUGUCUGAGGUCAGGACAAGUCAAGAAGGACUCAAGUACCUGACUAAAGGUUUACUCAAAGGAAACAGUCUUUGUCACAGAAGAUUAGGACACAGAUAUGUACACAGGGAAGAUCAUGCAAAAUGAGAGCCAUCUACAAGCCAAGGACAGAAGUCUCAGAAAGAAACCAGCUGUGCUGACAUCUUGAUCUUGGACUUGUAGCCUCCUGAACUGUGAAAGGUGCUCACUGCCGCAAUCACAUUGCAGACCAUGGAAAGGGAGCAAAGACGAACUCCUGAGCAAGCAGCUUUUCUUUAAUUUGCAGAUAUUCUGAAAAUUGACCACAUCAGAUAUGCUUACGUCUAAUUAAACUGAAAUCUAAUCACAUAAACACCAAUGGCUGAAACAGAGGCUGGGAAAUCUACAUUUUAGAUAUGUUUUACCUACAGAUGUACUAAUUUGCAUUUGCCAGGGCACUGUAAAAUCUCUGAGUGAAUUCUCUUUCUUAUGCUCCCUGAAUUUGAGCAUUUCUGCCCAUUUGCAAUUCCAGAAAUUGUCUAACUUUGUUCAUUUGAAUAUUGUGUCCCCAAAGCAAUAUCAUUUUCUGGGAAAUCUUAAAUAUGUUGACCUCUGUCAUUUGGGAUUCUAUUUCGAUUUACCUCUGUUUUAUAUAUUGCAACUGUUUAAUCACUUGGUGCUUUAUUAUGAAUUACUUCUUCAUAUCUUUCUUUUUACUAAUUAUCUAUAGAUUAAUCUAACUUUCUACUUUAUAUAGCCAUUUCAUUUUAAUCUCAGUGCCUAAUCUACUCAACAUAAAUAUAUACAGAUAUAAAAUUAUGUUCUAUAAGUUCUAUUUUACUUAUUUCUAAAUAUUUCAAUGCUUUUUUCAUAAUGCAGCCCCCAUAACGGAUUCUUUAUGUCUUAAAUACUCAUAUAUGUAUGCAUAUAAAUUUAUUUAUUUUUAAAUCUGUCUAAGCUACUUUAAUUUGAAAUUUAUUGGUGUAAAUAAUUUGGCUGUUGAUUGUGUUGGCAGUCUUAUUUACCGAGGAUAAGCUCUUCAUGAGUUCUGACUUGGGAUUAUUUAUUUAUCUUUAGAUCGCUAUUAUCAGUGCUAAUUGAGUGAGGUUUGAUAUGAACUUUGUGGUUGGGCUGUGGAAAGGAGCCCCACUUGGUCCAGAGUCUGAGAGUAAAAUGGGUCCCACUCUUGCUCGCUUGCCUGUGGAGCCUCACACCCCUCUGGGUUGGCACUUGCUUCUGCUAUUGCAGGUUCCAAGUAUAGGCUUGCCUGGCCCAGCCCUGCUAGCUUCAUUGACUCCCACCCUUACCCUACACCUCAGAGGCCGAACUAGGGACCUCUGAACCACUGAAUGUUCCAUUGGCCAACCUAUCACCUGGGACACCCACGUACCCCACCUGGUUAACAAAGAUCGAGCAUAAACCCACUAUCACUGCUGCAGUUGGCUGUCACAUGCAAGUGCUACCUACGGGCGUGAAAGUCAACCUGCACAGUCCAUCACAUCUGCUGACAGAAGUGCACAGCGCUUGGGAAAAAGACAAGCUUCUCACUACCUCUGCUCUCUGCUACUGCCAUCACCCACAUCAUCCCAGCUACCCAGAAGGCUGUGAGCUCACUCACCUGCCCAGUACACGACUACUACAACUGGCAUUUGAGAAUGCCGCCACCCUAAGGCUAUUUAUAAUCAAGGAAACCACACUGAGUAUUCUCCACUGAAGCACUCCAGAAGCAAAGCCAAAUGACCUCCAUCAACAUAUAUCCUAGUCACAUCCUGAAAAAAAGUCCUGCCCCAAUGAAUGUAAAUUGAAAAAGAAGAAGUGACUGUUUCUUCAGGUGUGAAGAAAUCAGUGUAAUAAUACUGGAACUAUGAAAAAGCAAAAUGCCAUUACUGGGUAUAUACCCAAAGGACUAUAAAUCAUGCUUCUAUAAAGACACAUGCACACGUAUGUUUAUUG